CCUACGGGGGGCUGCAGUGAGGAAUAUUGGUCAAUGGGCGUAAGCCUGAACCAGCCAUCCCGCGUGAAGGAAGAAGGCGCUAUGCGUCGUAAACUUCUUUUCCAGAGGAAUAAAAUUUCGUACGUGUACGGAACUGAAGGUACUUUGGGAAUAAGCAUCGGCUAACUCCGUGCCAGCAGCCGCGGUAAUACGGAGGAUGCGAGCGUUAUCCGGAUUUAUUGGUGUGAAAGGGUGCUAAUACGUAUGAAUAGGAAACCGUCAGCUUAACUGGAGAACUGCCAUUGAUACUGUUAGUCUUGAGUACGGUCAAGGUAGGCGGAAUGUGUAAUGUAGCGGUGAAAUGCUUAGAUAUUACACAGAACACCGAUUGCGAAGGCAGCUUACUGGGCCAUUACUGACGCUGAUGCACGAAAGCGUGGGGAGCGAACAGGAUUAGAUACCCCAGUAGUC
rnacentral:rRNA from 1 species